CUGUUAAAGGGUGACUGCGGAGGUCAUUACCUAGAGUUGUAGGCUUUGCCUGCUAUCUCUUACCCAUGUCUUUUGAGUACCUUACGUUUCCUCGGUGGAUUCGCCCACCGAUUGGACAAAUUUAAACCCUUUGCAGUUGAAAUCAGCGUCUGAAAAAACUUAAUAGUUACAACUUUCAACAACGGAUCUCUUGGUUCUGGCAUCGAUGAAGAACGCAGCGAAAUGCGAUAAGUAGUGUGAAUUGCAGAAUUCAGUGAAUCAUCGAAUCUUUGAACGCACAUUGCGCCCCUUGGUAUUCCAUGGGGCAUGCCUGUUCGAGCGUCAUUUGUACCUUCAAGCUCUGCUUGGUGUUGGGUGUUUGUCUCCUGUAGACUCGCCUUAAAACAAUUGGCAGCCGGCGUAUUGAUUUCGGAGCGCAGUACAUCUCGCGCUUUGCACUCAUAACGACGACAUCCAAAAGUACAUUUUUACACUCUUGACCUCGGAUCAGGUAGGGAUACCCGCUGAACUUAAGCAUAUCAAAAGCGGGGAAGGAA
rnacentral:rRNA from 1 species